rnacentral:rRNA from 1 species
UACGAAGGGGGCUAGCGUUGUUCGGAUUUACUGGGCGGAAGGCGCACGUAGGCGGAUCGUUAAGUCGGGGGUGAAAUCCUGGAGCUCAACUCCAGAACUGCCUUCGAUACUGGCGAUCUAGAGUCCGGAAGAGGUGAGUGGAACUCCUAGUGUAGAGGUGGAAUUCGUAGAUAUUAGGAAGAACACCAGUGGCGAAGGCGGCUCACUGGUCCGGUACUGACGCUGAGGUGCGAAAGCGUGGGGAGCAAACAGG